rnacentral:rRNA from 1 species
AACGAACGCUGGCGGCAGGCUUAACACAUGCAAGUCGAACGCCCCGCAAGGGGAGUGGCAGACGGGUGAGUAACGCGUGGGAAUCUACCCAUCCCUACGGAAUAACGCAUGGAAACGUGUGCUAAUACCGUAUACGCCCUACGGGGGAAAGAUUUAUCGGGGAUGGAUGAGCCCGCGUUGGAUUAGCUAGUUGGUGGGGUAAAGGCCUACCAAGGCGACGAUCCAUAGCUGGUCUGAGAGGAUGAUCAGCCACAUUGGGACUGAGACACGGCCCAAACUCCUACGGGAGGCAGCGGUGGGGAAUAUUGGACAAUGGGCGCAAGCGUGAUCCAGCCAUGCCGCGUGAGUGAUGAAGGCCUUAGGGUUGUAAAGCUCUUUCAACGGAGAAGAUAAUGACGGUAUCCGGAGAAGAAGCCCCGGCUAACUUCGUG